UUGACCUCGGAUCAGGUAGGAAUACCCGCUGAACUUAAGCAUAUCAAUAAGCGGAGGAAAAGAAACCAACAGGGAUUGCCCUAGUAACGGCGAGUGAAGCGGCAACAGCUCAAAUUUGAAAUCUGGCUCUCGGGCCCGAGUUGUAAUUUGUAGAGGAUGCUUUUGGCAAGGUGCCUUCCGAGUUCCCUGGAACGGGACGCCAUAGAGGGUGAGAGCCCCGUCUGGUUGGACACCGAGCCUCUGUAAAGCUCCUUCGACGAGUCGAGUAGUUUGGGAAUGCUGCUCUAAAUGGGAGGUAUAUGUCUUCUAAAGCUAAAUACUGGCCAGAGACCGAUAGCGCACAAGUAGAGUGAUCGAAAGAUGAAAAGCACUUUGAAAAGAGAGUUAAAAAGCACGUGAAAUUGUUGAAAGGGAAGCGCUUAUGACCAGACUUGGGCUUGGUUGAUCAUCCGGCGUUCUCGCCGGUGCACUCUUCCAGUUCAGGCCAGCAUCAGUUUGCCUCGGGGGAUAAAAGCAGCGGGAAUGUGGCUCCUCCGGGAGUGUUAUAGCCCACUGCAUAAUACCCUGUGGCAGACUGAGGACCGCGCUUCGUGCAAGGAUGCUGGCGUAAUGGUCAUCAGCGACCCG
rnacentral:rRNA from 1 species